rnacentral:rRNA from 1 species
CGCGUAUGCAACCUACCUAUCGGAGGGGGAUAGUCUAUGGAAACGUAGAAUAAUACCCCAUACGCUCUUAGUAUUUCAUGGUACAAAGAGGAAAGCUCCGGCGCUGACAGAUGGGCAUGCGUAUCAUUAGCUAGUUGGUAAGGUAACGGCUUACCAAGGCAACGAUGAUUAGCUGGUCUGAGAGGAUGAUCAGCCACACGGGCACUGAGACACGGGCCCG